rnacentral:pre_miRNA from 1 species
UGGCGGCCGGGGACAUGUGCUCACUUGGCGCCAUAUGUCUGCCGACCGUCACC